rnacentral:lncRNA from 1 species
GAGCAGGUGAGAGAGGGGGAGCAGGUGAGAGAGGGGAGCAGGUGAGAGAGGGGAGCAGGUGAGGGAGGGGAGCAGGUGAGGGAGGGGAGCAGGUGAGAGAGGGGGAGCAGGUGAGGGAGGGGAGCAGGUGAGGGAGGGGAGCAGGUGAGGGAGGGGAGCAGGUGAGGGAGGGGAGCAGGUGAGAGAGGGGUUCUAGGCACCAACUGCGCAGAAGUGGGUGGAGGUUAGCCAUCCCAUUUUAGC